GACAGAGGGUGCAACCGUUGUUCGGAAUUACUGGGCGUAAAGCGCAUGUAGGCGGCCAAGCAGGUCGGAUGUGAAAUCCCUCGGCUCAACCAAGGAAGUGCAUUCGAAACCGCAUGGCUGGAGUCCCGGAGAGGGUAGUGGAAUUCUCGGUGUAGAGGUGAAAUUCGUAGAUAUCGAGAGGAACACCGGCGGCGAAAGCGGCUACCUGGACGAGGACUGACGCUGAGAUGCGAAAGCGUGGGGAGCAAACAGG
rnacentral:rRNA from 1 species